rnacentral:rRNA from 1 species
GAUGAACGCUGGCGGCGUGCCUAAUACAUGCAAGUCGAGCGAACAGACGAGGAGCUUGCUCCUCUGACGUUAGCGGCGGACGGGUGAGUAACACGUGGAUAACCUACCUAUAAGACUGGGAUAACUUCGGGAAACCGGAGCUAAUACCGGAUAAUAUAUUGAACCGCAUGGUUCAAUAGUGAAAGACGGUUUUGCUGUCACUUAUAGAUGGAUCCGCGCCGCAUUAGCUAGUUGGUAAGGUAACGGCUUACCAAGGCAACGAUGCGUAGCCGACCUGAGAGGGGUAAUCGGCCACCCUGAAACUGGGACACGGUCCGACCCCCACGGGAAGGCAGAAGUGGGAAACCUUCCGCAAUGGCCGAAGGCCGACCGAGGAAACGCGGCGGGGGUAAUAAGGGUCUCGGAUCGUAAAACUCUGUUAUUAGGGAAGAACAAAUGUGUAAGUAACUAUGCACGUCUUGACGGUACCUAAUCAGAAAGCCACGGCUAACUACGUG